rnacentral:rRNA from 1 species
UACGAAGGGUGCAAGCGUUACUCGGAAUUACUGGGCGUAAAGCGUGCGCAGGCGGUUCGUGAUGUCUGGUGUGAAAGCCCCGAGCUUAACUUGGGAAUUGCGCUUGUGACUGGCGUGCUGGAGUGUGGCAGAGGGAGGUGGAAUUCCACGUGUAGCAGUGAAAUGCGUAGAGAUGUGGAGGAACACCGAUGGCGAAGGCAGCCUCCUGGGCCAGCACUGACGCUCAUGCACGAAAGCGUGGGGAGCAAACAGG